ensembl:lncRNA
UAUGCCUUCAAAAAAAGUCUAGGUUCUGUGUAUGACGGACAGCAUGCUUGCAUGCCUUUCUGAAUCUGGCUUCUUCUGCUUAACACCAUGAUCUCCAGGUCCAUGCACUUUCCUACAGAUGACAUCACUGUGUUCUCCUUUGUGGCUGGAUAAAAUGCUCUUGUGUACGUAUACCACAUGCUCUUUCCCUAUUCAUCUAUGGACAGACCUCUCGGCUGUUUCUAUCAUUUGCUCUUGUGAACGGCGCUGCAUGAAUUUAUCUCUAUGGCUUGCCAACUCCGAUUCCCUCAGGUACAUAGCCAGGAGUGAUACAGUGGGGUCAUGCAGUAGUUUCACUUUUAGGUUUUUGGAGAGUCUCCAUACUAAUUUCUAUAGGGGCCCCACUAAUUUACAUUCCACUAGAGUGUAAAGUGUUCUCACCACCAUUUGUUGCCAUUUGUUUUCCUGGUGAUCAUCUUUCUGGGCCAGCUCUAACCUCGAAGCAGUUAGCGACCUGUGUUUACUCUGAUGGCUAAAGGUGUUAAACAUAUUUUAGGUAUUUACUGGCUACUAAAAUUUAUUUUUUUCAGUUUAUUUAUUUAUUUAUUUAUUUAUUUAUUUAUUUUGAGAACUGGCUUCUUUUAGUGGCUUCCUGACACUUAAAAGGAAUGACUUUUGAUGUUUCUUCUCACACAAGUCUGCUGUAUGUCUCCACGCCUCUCUGUGAUCUCAGGGUGACAAGUCAUGGGUAAGGACUUCUGGGGAAACAGGAAAGGAGGGAAAUGCACUGAGCCAGCUUCCCCUAAAAAGUCACCGUGCUCCCAGUCCAGCCAGAGGCAGCACUGGGCUGUGGGUGAGUCAGCAGGGAACGGCAGUGGGCCUUGCAGGUGCUCAGUCUGUGACUGAGCAAGAAUAUCGACUGUGCUAGUGCGAAUGUGAGCAGGGGAUUGGUGGAGGUAGACACACACACUGCAGAGGCAGAGGCAUGAGGUAUCUGGCUCUGAUGUCCCUUCUCAGGAGCCUGCUGGUGAGAGCCAAGCCUGUCCCUGUUCUUUAUAGAAGCCUGAGUCACUGCUGUUGCCUUUGAAAUAGGCUGGAGUGCUCCCCAGAGUUUGAUUCUCUGAGCAUCAAAACCCACUGGAAAAACAAGACUGGGUCAGAGGAAUGGAAAGAAGUUGACAGCCUGCUGAUCUUUGGACUAGAACUUCCACCAUCUGCUCUCCUGGGCCUCCAGCUCGCUGACUCACCCUGAGAAUCUUGGGACUUGUCUGCCUUCAUAAUAACACGAUCCCAUUCCUUGUAACAAAUCUCUUUAUAUAUAGACACAUCCUGUUGCUUCUGUUUGUUUCGAGAAGCCUGACUAAUACACCACCCUUAUAAGUGGAAUAAAAUAUCUAUCAGAUUAGUUCUCCAUGGUUCAUUCUAUGAUUAUUUGAAGUUUCAUGAAACUGUGAAUGCUGGUCCCGUGGCAGUCAUCAUCAUCCAUCAUCAUCAUCAUCAUCAUUGUUAUCGUCAACAAGGACUUCUGAGUUGCUCAGCUCUGAGAUCAACUUUUGGCCUUAGUCUUACCCACCAGGCACAGUGGCCCAUCCUCUUCUAGAACCCUCACCUGUCUACAUUCUAGUCACUUCUCACUGGCCCUCCUCUCAGCCUCCAUGGUCCCUCAGUUACUUUCUUCUCCUUACUUGGACCUCUGAAUACUGUAGCAUCCUCCAUUCUAUCCCUGGAAUCAUUGUUUAUCCAUCUAUAAAUGUUUGAAGAUGUGGCCUCCCAGUUCCUGAGAAGGUGAUGGGUCUGUAAGUAUUUGAGAACUGCUCUGGGCACUGGCAUCUGCUGAACAGGUCUGAUUAGGGCUAGAGGCCCACUGUGCAGAUGCUGACUUGCAAAGUCGGGAGAAACAAUGCUCACUGGGAACUAUGCAGCUAGGGUGGCCCGUGGGAACCAAUGCACUUGGAGAGAAGGCCCUAGGACACUGGGUGUGGCCUCCCAGAGGAAGAAGUAUGACCUCAGGCCAGGCCACUGUCUUUGGCAGAGGGUAAGCCUGAAAGACUCAGUUGAGUGCCAUCUGCACAAUACUCCUGUGGCUGGGAAAACGAAUCCCCUGUCCUCAAGGGGAUUAGGCUGACACAGGAAACCACUUCCUGCUGUCAGACAUAAGCCUGGCUCCAAAUCACUAGAUGCUUGAGAGAGGCUUGAGAGGCUUCGGGAGUUAAUUCAUUUUAUCAUAAAGAUUAUGGGAGAUGGAAAUCCCAGGAAAGCACAGAAGGCAAUUCCAGAAGGACCAUGUUUAUAUCCUUCCCCCACAAACAAAGUGGGCCUAGAGCUCUCUGUCACACUGAGCGCUCAUGCUAUCCACAGACAUCAUAUGUAUUUACAGACAAUUUAUGGUCUUCCUUGUGCUUUAUUUAAGAGCAUCGGGUCCUUGUAACAUCAGCUUCGAUUCCCCUUGCAGUGAGGACUUACUGGGAGAAUUAGAGUUGUGCUGUUGGCCUCUCUUCUGAAAUGCAGGACUUAGUCAGCUCCUGGGCUUUGACCACAGCCCUCUGCACAAGGCUGGAGGAAAUCUCUCCCCUCACUAACCUUUAAUCACCUGAUAGAAUCUUGUCUGUCAUCCAGGGAUGAUCACAGCCAUAUUUGUUCUGACCGAACACCAAGUUUAAAGAAAG